rnacentral:rRNA from 1 species
CCUACGGGGGGCAGCAGUGGGGAAUAUUGGGCAAUGGAGGAAACUCUGACCCAGCAACGCCGCGUGGAGGAUGAAGCAUUUCGGUGUGUAAACUCCUUUUAACUAAGAAGAUAAUGACGGUAUUAGUUGAAUAAGCACCGGCUAACUCCGUGCCAGCAGCCGCGGUAAUACGGAGGGUGCAAGCGUUACUCGGAAUCACUGGGCGUAAAGGGUGUGUAGGCUGUUUUGUAAGUCUUGUGUGAAAUUUAUCAGCUUAACUGAUAGACUGCAUAGGA